rnacentral:rRNA from 1 species
UGGGGAAUUUUGGACAAUGGGGGAAACCCUGAUCCAGCCAUCCCGCGUGUGCGAUGAAGGCCUUCGGGUUGUAAAGCACUUUUGGCAGGAAAGAAACGUCAUGGGUUAAUACCCCGUGAAACUGACGGUACCUGCAGAAUAAGCACCGGCUAACUACGUGCCAGCAGCCGCGGUAAUACGUAGGGUGCAAGCGUUAAUCGGAAUUACUGGGCGUAAAGCGUGCGCAGGCGAUUCGGAAAGAAAGAUGUGAAAUCCCAGAGCUCAACUUUGGAACUGCAUUUUUAACUACCGGGCUAGAGUGUGUCAGAGGGAGGUGGAAUUCCGCGUGUAGCAGUGAAAUGCGUAGAUAUGCGGAGGAACACCGAUGGCGAAGGCAGCCUCCUGGGAUAACACUGACGCUCAUGCACGAAAGCGUGGGGAGCAAACAGG